CCCUUAGAUGUUCUGGGCCGCACGCGCGCUACACUGAUGCAUUCAACGAGCCUAUCCUUGACCGACAGGUCCGGGUAAUCUUUGAAUCUGCAUCGUGACGGGGAUAGAUUAUUGCAAUUAUUAAUCUUCAACGAGGAAUGCCUAGUAAGCGCGAGUCAUCAGCUCGCGUUGAUUACGUCCCUGCCCUUUGUACACACCGCCCGUCGCUACUACCGAUUGAAUGGUUUAGUGAGGACUCCUGAUUGGCGCCGCCGCCCCGGCAACGGAGCAGCGGACUGCCGAAAAGUUGUUCAAACUUGAUCAUUUAGAGGAAGUAAAAGUCGUAACA
rnacentral:rRNA from 1 species